rnacentral:rRNA from 3 species
UUUGAGGGUUUGAUCCUGGCCCAGGACGAACGCUAGCGGCGCGCUUUAAGCAUGCAAGUCGAGCGAUUCCGACGCAAGUCGGGAUAGCGGCAGACGGCUGAGUAACACGUCGGAAUCUACUCUUUGGUGGGGGAUAGCCCCGCGAAAGCGGGGGUAAUACCGCAUAAUCUCGCAAGAGCAAAGGACUUAACGGUCCACCGAAGAAAGAGCCGGCGGCCUAUCAGCUAGUUGGUGGGGUAACGGCCUACCAAGGCUAUAACGGGUAGGGGGUGUUAGAGCACGGCCCCCCAGAAUGAGACUGAGACACGGCUCAUACACCUACGGGUGGCAGCAACUGGGAAUCGUGGACAAUGGACGCAAGUCUGAUCCCGCGACGCCGCGUGGAGGAAGAAGGCCUUCGGGUCUUAAACUCCUUUUGACAAUCAUACAGGUUGUAGAAUAAGCACCUGCUAACUCCGUGCCAGAAGCCUCGGUAAUACGGAGGGUGCAAGCGUUGUCCGGAUUUAUUGGGCGUAAAGAGUCUGUAGGCGGUCCGCCACGUUUUCUGUUAAAGUCCAGAGCUUAACUCUGGGAUAUCGGAGAAUACGGGUGAACUUUGAGAUCUUUCGGGGAUGUUGGAACUCGUAGUGUAGGGGUUAAAUCCGUUGAUAUUACGAGGAACACCGACGGCGAAGGCGAACAUCUAGAAAGAUUCUGACGCUGAGAGACGAAAGCUAGGGUAGCGAAAGGGAUUAGAGACCCCUGUAGUCCUAGCCGUAAACUAUGCUCGCUUGGGAUAGGUCUCGCAAAGAAUACAUUCUUUGCGAGAAAUUCAAAGCACGAAUAUCGAAGCACGAAACAAAUUCAAAAUCUAAAAAUCCUAAAAUUCAAAACGUUUAAUUAUUUGAAUUUAGAAUUUAGAUAUUGUUUCGAAUUUAGGAUUUCGUAUUUUGGGUUUUGAGCAAAAAAUACGUUGUAUUUUUUGCGAGAUCUGUUCCGCAAGCUAACGCGUUAAGCGAGCCGCCUGGGGAGUACGGCCGCAAGGCUAAAACUCAAAGGAAUUGACGGGAGAGCGCACAACCAGUGGAGCAUGUUGUUUAAUUCGACACGAACCGAAGAACCUUACCCAGGCUUGACAUCCUAAUGAAACUCCGAUGAAAGUCAGAGCCCUCCGGUGCAAACCGGAGCGUUAGGACAGGUGUUGCAUGGCUGUCGUCAGCUCGUGCCGUGGGGUGUUCUCUUAAGUGAGGUAACGAGCGCAACCCCUGCUGUAUGUUAAAUAUUCAUACGGGACAGGUCCGAUUUUAUCGGACAGGAAGGAGGGGACGACGUCAAGUCAGCAUGGCCCUUAUGUCUGGGGCUACAAACAUGCUACAAUGGCGCCUACAAUGAGUUGCCAAGCCGCGAGGCGGAGCUAAUCUCAUCAAAAGGCGUCUCAGUGGGGAUUGCAGGCUGAAAUUCGCCUGCAUGAACGCGGAAUUGGUAGUAAUCGCGGGUCAGCUAUACCGCGGUGAAUACGUUCUCGCUCUUUGUACACA